rnacentral:rRNA from 1 species
GAUGAACGCUGACGGCGUGCCUAAUACAUGCAAGUCGAGCGAACGGACGAGAAGCUUGCGUCUCUGAUGUUAGCGGCGGACGGGUGAGUACACGUGGAUAACCUACCUAUAAGACUGGGAUAACUUCGGGAAACCGGAGCUAAUACCGGAUAAUAUUUUGAACCGCAUGGUUCAAAAGUGAAAGACGGUCUUGCUGUCACUUAUAGAUGGAUCCGCGCUGCAUUAGCUAGUUGGUAAGGUAACGGCUUACCAAGGCAACGAUGCAUAGCCGACCUGAGAGGGUGAUCGGCCACACUGGAACUUAGCCGCGGUCCAGACUCCUACGGGAGGCAGCAGUAUGGAAUCUUCCGCAAUGGGCGAAAGCCUUACGGAGCAACGCCGCGUGAGUGAUGACGGUCUUCCGAUCGUAAAACUCUGUUAUUAGGGAAGAACAUAUGUGUAAGUAACUGUGCACAUCUUGACGGUACCUAGUCAGAAAGCCACGGCUAACUACGUG